rnacentral:rRNA from 1 species
UGGCAAGGUUAACCGUAUAGGGGAGCCGUAGCGAAAGCGAGUCUUAACUGGGCGCUCAGUCUCUGGAUAUAGACCCGAAACCGGGUGAUCUAGCCAUGGGCAGGUUGAAGGUUGAGUAACAUCAACUGGAGGACCGAACCGACUAAUGUUGAAAAAUUAGCGGAUGACUUGUGGCUAGGGGUGAAAGGCCAAUCAAACUCGGAGAUAGCUGGUUCUCCCCGAAAGCUAUUUAGGUAGCGCCUCGGACGAAUACUACUGGGGGUAGAGCACUGUUAAGGCUAGGGGGUCAUCCCGACUUACCAACCCUUUGCAAACUCCGAAUACCAGUAAGUACUAUCCGGGAGACACACGGCGGGUGCUAACGUCCGUCGUGGAGAGGGAAACAACCCAGA